CUUGCACAAUGGAGGAAACUCUGAUGCAGCGACGCCGCGUGAGCGAAGAAGCCUUUCGGGGUGUAAAGCUCUUACGCCAGGGACGAUAAUGACGGUACCUGGCGAAGCAGCUGCGGCUAACUACGUGCCAGCAGCCGCGGUAAUACGUAGGCAGCAAGCGUUGUUCGGAAUUACUGGGCGUAAAGGGUGCGUAGGCGGCGCUCUAAGUUUGGUGUGAAAUCUCCCGGCUUAACUGGGAGGGUGCACUGAAAACUGGGGCGCUCGAGUAUGGGAGAGGAAAGCGGAAUUCCUGGUGUAGCGGUGAAAUGCGUAGAGAUCAGGAGGAACACCUGCGGUGCAGACGGCUUUCUGGACCAUCACUGACGCUGAGGCACGAAAGCGUGGGUAGCAAACA
rnacentral:rRNA from 1 species